CCUACGGGUGGCAGCAGUGGGGGAUAUUGCACAAUGGGGGAAACCCUGAUGCAGCGACGCCGCGUGUGGGAAGACGGUCCUCUGGAUUGUAAACCACUGUCCCCAGGGACGAAGAUGACGGUACCUGGGGAGGAAGCUCCGGCUAACUACGUGCCAGCAGCCGCGGUACUACGUAGGGAGCGCGCGUUGUCCGGAAUUACUGGGUGUAAAGGGAGCGUAGGCGGGUCUGCAAGUUGGGUGUAAAAUCUACCGGCUCAACCGGUAGCCGCACUCAAAACUGCAGUUCUUGAGUGAAGUAGAGGCAGGCGGAAUGCCUGGUGUAGCGGUGAAAUGCGUAGAUAUUAGGAGGAACACCAGUGGCGAAGGCGGCCUGCUGGGCUUUUACUGACGCUGAGGCUCGAAAGUGUGGGGAGCAAACAGGAUUAGAUACCCGGGUAGUC
rnacentral:rRNA from 1 species